UUUAUGAGUGCAAAUUGUAUCAAAAGAUGCUAACCAAAUUAAUGUUAUACCUUAAACACUAUGUUUCCCGUCUGUUUCUCGUCAUAUACUUGUAUUGAAUGAAGAGCUUUUUGUUGAUUCUCAUGCUCUGGUCUUUUUUGCCUGCAGAUCGAUCGUCAAACUCUAUCAAUUGCUGUCCGGUUUUUGAAGGCAAAAACUCCAGAACAGAGGGCUGCUGUUGAUUUAGACACCCACUAUUCAAAGGUUGAUUAGUUAUUUAUUUAAUAAUGCUGAAAAUUAAGUGCUCCACUUUCCUAGUUCCCUCCUGCAAAGUGCCAUGUAUUGGUGUACAAAUAAAAUGUAAACUAGAUGGUUUUAUGUGCAUUAUUUUAUUGCUGAUUAGUUGAUUUAUCUUCAAUAGAUAUAAAUUCUAAUCUAUCUCAAAAAAAAAAUAUAUAUAUAUAUAAAUACUAAUCAGUGAUGCUAUUUAUCACGACUAGGGAAUGAUAUCUGACUACCUAUUUGUGUUUUGCUCUUUGCAGGAAUACCUCGAGGAAGAUGUGGGAACUACGACCCGAAGAGCAGUAUUAUAUCAAGUGAGUGACAGAUGUUUCUUCGGCUAUCUUUUAUCUUUUUCAACCAUUGUAAAGUAAUCCACAAGAAACAAGACUUACGGUGCUUACUUGGUUUUUCCCCCCUCUUAUUUUUGGGGUGUGCCAGGAAUAUGUGAAAGGCAUAUCAGCAUCCGGUAUGCAGUCAAAUUGUGGAUUUGAUGGACAGAUAAAUGCUUGUUGGUCUCAUAAGUUAUCACGGGCUGAUCUUGAAUCUAUCUGCUCUGCUGGAUUCCUAAUUU
rnacentral:lncRNA from 1 species